rnacentral:rRNA from 1 species
AUUGAACGCUGGCGGCAGGCUUAACACGUGCAAGUCGAGCGGGGAAAGGUAGCUUGCUACCUGACCUAGCGGCGGACGGGUGAGUAAUGCUUAGGAAUCUGCCUAUUAGUGGGGGACAACAUUCCGAAAGGAAUGCUAAUACCGCAUACGCCCUACGGGGGAAAGCAGGGGAUCUUCGGACCUUGCGCUAAUAGAUGAGCCUAAGUCAGAUUAGCUAGUUGGUGGGGUAAAGGCCUACCAAGGCGACGAUCUGUAGCGGGUCUGAGAGGAUGAUCCGCCACACUGGGACUGAGACACGGCCCAGACUCCUACGGGAGGCAGCAGUGGGGAAUAUUGGACAAUGGGCGAAAGCCUGAUCCAGCCAUGCCGCGUGUGUGAAGAGGGCCUUUUGGUUGUAAAGCACUUUAAGCGAGGAGGAGGCUACUUGGAUUAAUACUCUAGGAUAGUGGACGUUACUCGCAGAAUAAGCACCGGCUAACUCUGUGCCAGCCGCCGCGGUAAGAC